rnacentral:rRNA from 1 species
UACGGAGGAUCCAAGCGUUAUCCGGAUUUAUUGGGUUUAAAGGGUGCGUAGGUGGCCUGUUAAGUCAGAGGUGAAAGACGGUAGCUCAACUAUCGCAGUGCCUUUGAUACUGAUGGGCUUGAAUGAACUAGAGGUAGGCGGAAUGAGACAAGUAGCGGUGAAAUGCAUAGAUAUGUCUCAGAACACCGAUUGCGAAGGCAGCUUACUAUGGUUUUAUUGACGCUGAGGCACGAAAGCGUGGGGAUCAAACAGG